UACAGCUCAACAAGAGCAGAUGUUCAGUUUUACUACCUAAAUGUUAUAUUUUUUAUUAUAUAUUUAUACACAGUCAGUAUAUGAAGUUCAACUGACACUCAAACAUACACCAUGCUAUUUAAAAAAACAGCAAGAUUGGACAUUUUGUUUUUUGUAAUUUUGCUGUUUAGUCAUAGGUUUACAGAGCUCUUCUCAUAAUGUAUCAAGAUGAAAGAAGUUGAGUGCUUCAAGUAUUUGUUGAAGAUACUACUCCAGAAGAAAUUGGAUAAGUUCAAUGAUCUUUAUGGUGAAUAAUAAUUUUCCAGUGGAUGAAGAGAUUCCGGUGAUGAUUCAAGGAAAUAUUUUAGUAAAACAUCUUUGUUACACCUCAUUAAUCCAUACCAUAAAAAUAACAAGAUGGAAACCUUGGUAGCAAGCUGAUAUGGAUUCCACAUUUUCAACUUCAGGAGUCAAUGCCUUAGUAAUAAGUUUCAUGGUCUGCUGAAGAUUCUAAAAACUAAGACGUUUUUUUUUUAAUUUAGCAAAGAAAAAUUAAAUGAAAUUCUAUUUUU